rnacentral:rRNA from 1 species
AACGAACGCUGGCGGCAGGCCUAACACAUGCAAGUCGAGCGAGCAUUUCGGUGCUAGCGGCGGACGGGUGAGUAACGCGUGGGAACGUGCCCUUUUCUGCGGAAUAGUCCUGGGAAACUGGGGGUAAUACCGCAUACGCCCUUUUGGGGAAAGAUUUAUCGGAGAAGGAUCGGCCCGCGUUGGAUUAGGUAGUUGGUGGGGUAAUGGCCCACCAAGCCGACGAUCCACAGCUGGUUUGAGAGGAUGAUCAGCCACACUGGGACUGAGACACGGCCCAGACUCCUACGGGAGGCAGCAGUGGGGAAUCUUAGACAAUGGGGGCAACCCUGAUCUAGCCAUGCCGCGUGAGUGAUGAAGGCCUUAGGGUUGUAAAGCUCUUUCAGCUGGGAAGAUAAUGACGGUACCAGCAGAAGAAGCCCCGGCUAACUCCGUG